UCUUUACAGGAGCUAUUUUAAACCAGAAUCAUUAGAUGCAGUACUGUGUGUUAAUGGCAAUUAGCUUCUGACUACCGCUAAGGGUUCCUCAUCUACCAUUGACAUUAAUUAUUCUAUUUUGGCUCAUUGACUUGCAAAAUCACUAAAUGAUUCCUUUGUUACAAAACACCACAUUCAAAGAGCAUAUCUGAUGGAAACACAGGUCUGCUCAUCAUCUUAUUGCUAUUGAGAACUUGUCACUUUGGAGAAGAAUUGGAGAAAACAGAAAUUUUUGCAAAUGGUUUUCAAAAGAAAUUAAAGUUGUUAUAUUUAGAGUGUGUCUGCUUGUCACUCAUGCUUUAGCUGUCUUACAGUAGAGGGCAGAAGUGAAUUCUUUUCAAUUUGCAAUCUUCAGGCUUGUAAAUUGAAAAAUUCACAUCUGCCCUUUCUAGCUUAAGAAAGAUUGACAGCAAAAGGUCACAUUUUCAAAAUGAAUAUGUUAUGAAUUACCCCUUAUGUUGUAUCAUUAUUUUCAGAUUUUAUAUUGGCCCGCUGCAAUAGUUUUUGAGCACCCAGUAAUCUUUAACAUAGUUAUACUUGCAACACCUAUAUGACAGAGGGAAGUCCUAUUAUCUUUCUGUUUGUAACCAGAAAACCCAAUUGCAACAAGUCUUGUUGACUUGUCUGUGGUUGCAUGAGAAGUCUGUGAUAAAAUCAGUUGUCAUGUUACUAUACAAGUUGCUCGACCCCUGGUUAUGUUGUAGUGUCUUCUGCAAGGUGGGACUCCAUCUCUGUUUCUAAGGAUGAGGAUGCAGGUUUUAUCUCACUCUGUGUGCUUUCUGAUUUAUUGCUGUAAAAUUUCUGACAUAUUACCAUACAUUUGAAUGUUUUACAAGGUUUCUGACUUGAGGCACUGACGAACCAAGGAAACAGUCGACAAAGAUCAGCAGUCAGCUGGUGCAUGACAACAAACAAGAGCAGGAAUUCCAGAGAGCAGCAGGCUUGCCUCUAUUUAAGUGGAGUAAUGAGAGAACAGACAGCAGAAGAGCCAGGAACAGAUGGAUUGGCUGCAGUGGUAAUCAAGAGAAGAAGAAAACCAUAAUAUUGUCCACUUGAAACCUGGGGAAAGAGAAAAGUGCUUCACAUAUUGACCACUUCCCUCCUGCCUUCUCUGACCUCGUUCUUCUACACAGAGACUUUUACAGGUAGGUGAGGAUUUUGAGUACCUCAAGGAUAGCUUUUUAUGAAGUGAUUGUGAUCUGACUGUGUAUCUAAGUUGAAGGAGUUUAUACACAAGCUGUCCCAAAAGAUGCACUGGAUAAUGUUUCUUACAUAAAAGAAAGUAGAAAGCAAGGUGAGGAAAUUGGUGGUUCAAGCCAAUAAAUGCUUUCUAUUGUGUUUGUUAUUGUACUUU
rnacentral:lncRNA from 1 species